UAAAUGGUAUUUUUAUUUUUAUUUUUUUUGAUUUGUUAUAUAAAUAAUUAAUAUCAACAAAUUUUAGUUAAAAAAUAAUUUAAUAGAUUGAGUCACUUUAUGAGGAAAGAGUAGAUAGUUGAGCGCUUUUGAAUUAAAAUUCAAAGUUGAGUGACUUUUUGAAAAAGAAGUGCAUGGUUGAGUGCUUUUGAGUGAAAAUUGAAAGUUGAAUCACUAUCUGAAAGAACAGUGCAUAGUUGACCAUAUGAGGUAUUAACUCAGGCCAGAAUCAGACGAUUUUGAUUUCUCUGAGUUACAAUUUUCUGGUUUAAGGUAGGAUUAUAUUUCUCACAGGUUAUAGUCUCUCUCGUUUUUUGAUUUGCUUUUCAAUUGUAACUAAACAUUCAUCUUGCAUGUUGAUUGAAAAAUUGUGUUACGUAGUUAGAUUUGUAUUUUUACGUUACCGGUACUACUGAAAUUAAGAUUCCUUCUUCCUUCCACCACCGCAGCUUCUCUUUCCUCCUUCAGGGAAACAUUUGAGCCCUUCGUUUAUCAAAGAUUUGAAGUUUAUCUUUUAAGUGUACUUUGUGUUGGCCAUUAAUAUGUAUUACUGUCAAUUACCGUUGAUGACAUUAUUUUUCAAAUAAUAUAUCUAUCUAUGGUUAUAACUGUUGUGUUUGCAAUUGAUAGGUUUCAUUGUGAAGUAUAACAUGUAUGGAAAAAAAUAAAGAAUAAAGCCCUAAAGUUUUAUAAUCACAGGGUUCUUAUUGUCUUGUUUCCAAGUGAUUAUUAAGUUAAUGUAUCAUUUAUAAUUGUUUUGAUUUAGUAAUUUAGAGAUUUUGUUUGCUUCCAAGUGAUUAUUUUGAUAAUGUAUUAUCUCAACUCUUGUCAAAACUAUACUGGUCAAGAAAAGAUGGUGAGACAUCUGAUUGUUAAAAAUGUACGACCUCCUUGUAUUUUUUGCCUGUGCAAAGAAAAAUCCGAGUAGAAAACAUCAACGGAUCUCGCUGGGAAUAGACGUUGAUAAAAGCAACCUGAGACCCCAGGAGCAGAAUACAAUCGGUGGCUAUUGGAAUCAAAGAAUUUCUCCAUGCCAUUAUUAGCCAAAAGUGGCAACAGCUAAAACAGUGUGUUGUUGACAGGUUGAUUCGUAUUGCUUCCUCAUGUGUUCGACAAUCUCGUCGAUUAUGUAAAUGUUGCUGUCAUUUGUGUAUUAAAUAGCAUAUAAAAGUGAGCACAUUGUUCAAUUUUCUUUUCCCUUUUAUGUUCAUGUAAAUUCUUACGCCUCCUACCUAUUCGAAAGAGUUUAACUAGUGCUCUACUUUCUUGCAGAAAGGUAGGUUACAAGAAACGCUGCAUUUAGGACUAUUUUUUGGUUUGUGUAAAUCACUAAAGUAUGCAAAACAUGUCAUGUUAUGAGAACAUUAACUGUUUUAGUCGUUAUCAUGUUAAUUACAUCUCAUUUCAAUCCCAAACAAGAUAUAAUACGCUAUGUGAAUCCUCAUUUCUUCAUUUAAGUUCAUAUUAACAAAGUUUUAUUACUCCCAAUUUUUACAUUCUCUGUAGUUGUUCUAUGCGGAGAAGUGAUAGAUAAGUACAUAAUCAAGUAAGUGACAUGCUUUAACCAAUAAUUACAAUGCAGGGAUAAAUUUUAUGUGUUACCAGAGGAGUUUUAUUUUGUGGUUUGGUGAAGUUCAUAGAUUCUACAACCUGCUAGAUUUCUGAGCUAAUAUAAAAUUUGUAUUGGAGGCCAAGAUUAAUAUAGUUAGCCUCCAUUCUGCUGCUAAAAUUUUGAAUUCCUCUGUGACUGUGACAUUUUAGUAUCAGCAGCCUUUCAGAAGCUACUUUCAAAUGCUUUCAAGUUGUUUUCUUUCGCUUGUUGUUAUUGUUUUCUUUUCUUUUUUUGUCUCGUGCAGAUAAUGCAGGCUACAUUACGUAAAGAUGCCAAUCCAGAGCUUGCCUGUGCUAUUGAUACAUGGAGUCUAGGUUGUACUGUAAUUGAAAUGUUUAGUGGACAGUCCUCUUGGAACGGAUUAGACGGGGUGAAAGCAAAUCACCACCUGUACUAGAAACGUCAUCUCCGGAAGGAAAGAAUUUUCUUCGGUGCUACUUUCAGAGAAAACCUGCAGAUAGGCCUACAUUUUUUAUGCUACUUGAGCAUCCUUUCUUAAGUAAUACUAAUUUGCAUAAACAUAGUGCUACUGUUUUAGGUUCCUCAGAAGAUUUUUUACGGAUGAAAUGAGAACUGUGGUUUUUAACAUAUCGAACAAGAAUGUACUUUUAAGAAAGUGUAUUUUUUAAAGUGUAGCCUUCCCUACUCAACUGACUCUAUGGCACAGGUAAACAUAGCAAUGUCCAUAGAGUUACAGUGGAGUGACAGUCGGAGCAUGUGGUCUUAUUAGUUUGAGUCAACAGAGGUAAACAAUUGUGGAAUGUUAGUUUAGAAUAUUACUACUGCUCCGUUUCUAGUUUUUGUCCUUUUAUGAUUGUAGAUGUUUUUAGUUUUUUAUUGAUAUAUAUUAUUUUAUGAGAUCUGUACGUUGUUUGAUUUACAUAAUUUCUGAAUAGGAUGUUAAAACAAAUAGACAUAUGAUAAACUAAUAUAAUAUAAAAUGCAUAAUAAUAAGGGUUAUGGGCUAAUUUUGUUUGUUUCUAUGUGAAUGUACCACCAAAUGAUUGUGGCCCUGGAUGAAUUAAAUCACCAUUGCGGAAUUUCAGCUUUCUUAGGGAUCCCUAAGUUCAUACUGAUUUCUGUGGAUGAUAUAGGGGAAGGAAGGUUGACUGCUUUGAGAUCCCAGUAGAUUUGAUUGGAGAACCUCUUGAAAAGUUAUUACGUGCAACAUAGAGAUUCACUAAGCCAUUGAUUGGUAUUAGAUAAUUAGUUUUGAUAAUGUAGUUGCAUGAUUGGAUUGGGUCAUAAUGAUUAGAGUGAAUUAUGUGUUUAGCGAUUGACCGGAGUAGUAAGGAUAAAAUCAAUGUACUCAUGGUGGAGUUAAGUACAUUUGUAUGGCAUAACUAAGCUUUUCCAACCAAAUGAUAUGCAAACAUUUUUUCUUA